GUGGGAUAAACACCUGCGUUUUUGCCCCUGGGUGUGCGAUUGCCCAUCCCUCCCAUGUUGGGUACAUUGGAAGGGCAGAGCCUUCCCGAAGUAUCUCACUUCACUCCAGGACGAGCCUGUGUGGCAGGCAUCUGCCAUGUUCAAAGCUCUGAUUGAUGGGCUGGAGGAGAAGCUGUCACAAUGUCAGAGGGACCUGGAGGCUGUGAACUCCAGGCUCUGUGGGGCAGAGCUGAGCCCAGACACCAGGAAGUCUCUGGAGAAGGAGAAAAACAGCCUGAUGAACAAAGCCUCCAACUAUGAAAAGGAGCUGAAGUUGCUUCGGCAGGAAAACCGGAAGAACAUGCUGCUAUCUGUGGCCAUCUUCAUCCUCCUGAGCCUCAUCUAUGCCUGCUGGACCAUGUGAGCUUGAGAUUUCUCCAGUCUGCAACCUGGUCACAACCAAGCAGGCCCUUCAGGCCUCAAGAGGACCAACCACAGCUUUCUCCCCCUUCACCUUUAGCCCCAGCUGUUUUAUCCAAGCCAGUCCCAGACCACAAAAUACCAAGGACAAUCAGCAGCAGCCCCAGCACAGAGCCACGCAGGCAUUAAAAAUAUGUUUAUCUUUAAUGAUCCAAGAUUUUGCAAGACACACUGAUAUACUUAGAACUGGGUGGAAAGACAGCAUUUUAGCAGUGCUGCUGCCAACCCGGGUGGGGAGGGGGACUGGAUGCUGGCUGGAGACCCGCCCCACCCAGGUGGAGCCAAUCGCAACCUCACAGGGAGCCUCAGUACCCUAUCUCCAUGGAAACCAGUCUAGCACUGGGGUGGGGCCUUAGGGAGCCUAUACAAACAUCUGACAGGCAUCCUCCCCACCCAAAGCUACUGCCCAGCUUUCCCUCUUCCCCCUCCACCACCACAGAGGAAAUAGUGACCAUAAAAUGACAGAGUGACUACCCCCUACUGGGGAAUGAAGAGGGGGAAGGGUAGCAAGGUAGCUGUGGCAAAUGAAGUUGUCACAACUGCCAAAGGGUGGGAUGCAAACACUCCCCCUCCACCACCAAAAGGUACCAUCUGUUCCGGUGGGACCACAGAGAAAGGCAGGGCUUCAAGGAUGCUCCCUCCCCUUCCACAGCUGCCCACAGUUCAGGUCCAAAGGGGAUGGGGCCCAGGAAGCCUCUAUCAUCAAGGAAGCAGUCACACACAACCAAAGGCGGUGCUACCUGCCUCCUGAUGUGGUAUCAGGGACCCAGGGCCCUCACACCUCCCUUCCCGGCCUGCGGGACUGUCAGAGGUCUAGGCUGCGAAGAAUUCCAGGAAAGACCAAGACGGUGUGGGACGAGACAAGAAAAUCUCCAACUUGGCAUCAAAACAGAGCAAGUUCAAAGAAACAAAAUCUUGAUUUGUACAGCAGCUGCUCCCGGCCAGCUCACGACAGUGGGCCUUCACCCACUCA